rnacentral:rRNA from 1 species
AUAAGCUAUUAAGGGCUAAUGGUGGAUGCCUAGAUUGUAAGAGGCGAUGAAGGACGUAUUAGGCUGCGAUAAGCCCCGGGGAGCUGCCAAAGAGCUUUGAUCCGAGGAUUUCCGAAUGGGGCAACCCAGUAUAAUGAGAAUUAUAUUACCCUACGGGGAGCUAACCUGGUGAAGUGAAACAUCUCAGUAGCCAGAGGAAGAGAAAUCAAACGAGAUUCCGUCAGUAGCGGCGAGCGAACGCGGAUUAGGACAAACCCAAUGCUUGCAUUGGGGGUUGUAGGACCAUGAUAUGAGACUAAAGAAGAUAGAUGAAAUACUUGGAAAAGUGUAGCAUAGAAGGUGAAACUCCUGUAAUUUAAAUUUUCAAUAGCUCUAAUGGUAUCCUGAGUAGGUCGGAACACGUGAUAUUUUGACUGAAACUGGGGGGACCACCCUCCAAUCCUAAAUACUACUUACAAAUCGAUAGUGAACAAGUACCGUGAGGGAAAGGUGAAAAGUACUCCAGCGAGGAGAGUGAAAUAGAACCUGAAACCAUUAGCUUACAAUCAUUCAGAGCCCUAUGAUUUAUCAGGGUGAUGGACUGCCUUUUGCAUAAUGAGCCUGCGAGUUGUGGUGUCUGGCAAGGUUAAGUCAAGUACGAAGCCGUAGCGAAAGCGAGUCUUAAUAGGGCGAAAUAGGGUCCCCAUUAAGAACUUUAUGUUCUUAAUGGGUUCCCUUAGUCAGAUGCUGCAGACCCGAAACGAAGUGAUCUAUCCAUGAGCAGGUUGAAGCUGGUGUAAGAGCCAGUGGAGGACCGAACCCGCAGGCGUUGAAAAGUCUUGGGAUGACUUGUGGAUAGGGGUGAAAGGCCAAUCAAACUUCGUGAUAGCUGGUUCUCUCCGAAAUAUAUUUAGGUAUAGCCUUGUGUUGUAGCAUAUAGGGGUAGAGCACUGAAUGGGCUAGGGCUGCUUACCGCGGUACCAAACCCUAUCAAACUAUGAAUACUAUAUGUGGAAUCACAGGAGUCAGGCGGUGGGUGAUAAAAUCCAUCGUCGAGAGGGGAACAACCCAGACUAACAGCUAAGGUCCCAAAGUCACAUCUAAGUGGAAAACGAUGUGGAGUUACUGUGACAACCAGGAGGUUGGCUUAGAAGCAGCCAUCCUUUAAAGAAAGCGUAACAGCUCACUGGUCUAGUGAUUCUGCGCGGAAAAUAUAACGGGGCUAAGAUGUGCACCGAAGCUUUAGAUUCAAUUUUUAAUUGAGUGGUAGGAGAGCGUUCUAUUCAGCGUUGAAGAUGUACCGGUAAGGAGCGUUGGAGCGGAUAGAAGUGAGCAUGCAGGCAUGAGUAGCGAUAAUUGAGGUGAGAAUCCUCAACGCCGAAAACCCAAGGUUUCCUACGCGAUGCUCGUCAUCGUAGGGUUAGUCGGGUCCUAAGUCGAGUCCGAAAGGGGUAGACGAUGGCAAAUUGAUUAAUAUUUCAAUACCAACAUACAAGCGCGAUGUGGGGACGCAUAGAGUUAGUCGAGCUCACUGAUGGAAUAGUGGGUCGAAGGACGUAGGCUGUAACUUAGGCAAAUCCGGGUUACAUGAGGCCGAGAUCUUACAGGCUCCUGACACUCUUCGGAGGAGAGGGAGAAUCGAUGAUACUGUCGUGCCAAGAAAAGCCACUAAGUAUAUUGUAUGUUGCCCGUACCGUAAACCGACACAGGUGGGUGGGAUGAGUAUUCUAAGGCGCGUGGAAGAACCCUGGUUAAGGAACUCUGCAAACUAGCACCGUAUCUUCGGUAUAAGGUGUGCCUACUUUGGUAUAGGAACUUGCUUCCAAAAGCUAGAGAGGUUGCAACAAAGAGUCCCUCCCGACUGUUUACCAAAAACACAGCACUUUGCUAACACGUAAGUGGAUGUAUAAGGUGUGACGCCUGCCCGGUGCUCGAAGGUUAACUGAUGAUGUCAGCGCAAGCGAAGCAUUUGAUUGAAGCCCGAGUAAACGGCGGCCGUAACUAUAACGGUCCUAAGGUAGCGAAAUUCCUUGUCGGUUAAAUACCGACCUGCAUGAAUGGCGUAACGAGAUGGGAGCUGUCUCAACCAGGGAUCCAGUGAAAUUGUAGUGGAGGUGAAAAUUCCUCCUACCCGCGGAAAGACGGAAAGACCCCGUGCACCUUUACUACAGCUUGACACUGUAGCUUGGAUAUUCAUGUGCAGGAUAGGUGGGAGGCUAUGAUAUAUGGACGCAAGUACAUAUGGAGCCAUCCUUGAGAUACCACCCUUGAAUAUUUGAGUUACUAACUGCGACGAGUCAACCUCGUUCAGGACAAUGUCUGGUGGGUAGUUUGACUGGGGCGGUCGCCUCCUAAAAAGUAACGGAGGCUUACAAAGGUUAGUUCAUGGCGGAUGGAAAUCGCCAGUUGAGUAUAAUGGCAUAAACUAGCUUGACUGUGAGACAUACAAGUCGAACAGAGACGAAAGUCGGUCAUAGUGAUCCGGUGGUUCUGUGUGGAAGGGCCAUCGCUCAAAGGAUAAAAGGUACGCCGGGGAUAACAGGCUGAUCUCCCCCAAGAGCUCACAUCGACGGGGAGGUUUGGCACCUCGAUGUCGGCUCAUCGCAUCCUGGGGCUGAAGUAGGUCCCAAGGGUAUGGCUGUUCGCCAUUUAAAGCGGUACGCGAGCUGGGUUCAGAACGUCGUGAGACAGUUCGGUCCCUAUCUUCCGUGGGCGUAGGAAAGUUGAAGAGAUUUGUCCCUAGUACGAGAGGACCGGGAUGAACGUACCACUGGUGUACCAAUUGUUCUGCCAAGAGCAUCGUUGGGUAGCUACGUACGGAUGUGAUAAGAGCUGAAAGCAUCUAAGCUCGAAGCCAACUCUAAGAUUAACUUUCCCUGAAGUUCCCAGUAAGACUAACUGGUUGAUAGGCUAGAUGUGUAAGCGUUGUAAGACGUUUAGCUGACUAGUACUAAUAGAACGUUUGGCUUAUUUUA